GGGGUUAUAGCUCAGUGGUACAGUGUUCACCUAGCAAGAGUGAGGCAUAAGUUCAAUCCUCAACACCA
rnacentral:tRNA from 1 species